CCUACGGGUGGCAGCAGUGGGGAAUAUUGGACAAUGGGGGAAACCCUGAUCCAGCGACGCCGCGUGAAGGAAGAAGUAUCUCGGUAUGUAAACCUCUAUCAGCAGGGAAGAAAAUGACGGUACCUGACUAAGAAGCAACGGCUAAUUACGAGCAAGCAGCCGCGGCAAUACGGAGGGGGCAAGCGUUAUCCGGAUUUAUUGGGUGUAAAGGGAGCGUAGGCGGUUUAGCAAGUCAGAAGUGAAAUCCCGGGGCUCAACUCCGGGACUGCUUUUGAAACUGUUGGACUAGAUUGCAGGAGAGGUAAGUGGAAUUCCUAGUGUAGCGGUGAAAUGCGUAGAUAUUAGGAGGAACACCAGUGGCGAAGGCGGCUUACUGGACUGUAAAUGACGUUGAGGCUCGAAAGCGUGGGGAGCAAACAGGAUUAGAUACCCCUGUAGUC
rnacentral:rRNA from 1 species